rnacentral:tRNA from 1 species
GGAGGGGUGGCAGAGUGGUCGAAUGCACCGGUCUUGAAAACCGGCAAACCGCAAGGUUUCGUGGGUUCGAAUCCCACCCCCUCUG